rnacentral:misc_RNA from 1 species
AACGCAUAUUGCGCUCCUCGGCAUUCCGAGGAGCAUGCCUGUUUGAUGCGCGCAUGAAAUCAACUUGUGUGCAAGAUGUCACGUCUUGCCCGCAUAGUUGCUUCUGAGCUUUUCUCGCAUCUGUGAGUAGUUCUAAGAUCGUGUCAUCACAGAAUUUGAGGGGUAGCAGCGACUUUGGGAGACGGCUCCAUUUACUUGGGUCAGCCGACGCCGAUUGCAUUUACGCCCACUCCGAAGUGAUAAUAUUGAGUUCAAUUUUUGAACACUCUUUGUUACGCGGAUUGGUCGCCAUCGAGCGCCGUUGGACAUCAGGUUGGAACAGUCGAGCAAGUUGAACGCAUCCCAGUGAAGCUAAUGUAUUUUAGCAUCGUCAAAAUCUGCAUCAAAUCAGGUAGGGUUACCCGCUGAACUUAA